CACACCCCUGACAUGUAGGAGAAACUAACCAUGAAAACUCACAAGGACACCUUAUGUCUAAGCAUGGCCAUGGGACGCAUACUGGUCAAUGCGAAGGAUGCCACUUCACUGUGAUGUGAACUCUCCAGACAUUUUUCAUGACUUUCAUGUCAGAAAUCUCCACUUUUCUCUUUGCACACAGGAAAAAUGACUGAGCAUUUUUUCCAGAGUCAAGACAAUUUUCCUCAAAGAGAGUACAUUUGGCUCUAAUGAGUUUGGAGAGUAAAAUUUUGAGUAAGAGAAAGAGCAAAGUCACAGAGUAACUGAUCAAUAGGCAGUGCUUGUGAAAGAAGUUAAGUUUCGUUUGUUCGCCAUACUGUUCAUCAUCACUGCAGUUGAAGUGGAUUUGGAAAAGACGAUUUUGCAGGACGUUAAAAAGCGGGCCAACCGUGGACAGAGAUCCUUACAAAGAAGAUAACUAGUUGAGUGAUGAACGCCAGUGUCAGGAAGCAAUAGCUCUGAUGAAGCACACAGCUGAUGAAUCCGUGGUGAAGGAAAAGAUGAGGUUGACCUUGUCUAUAUCGUCAGAAGAUUUUGCAUGAUCCUGACAAGUCAUCUGAUAUUCUAAACAUUUUCCCAUGAUUCAUGGACAUACCUUGCCUGAUUGAGCAGGAUUUUACACUACUUUUUGGUGACUCAACUUCUGCAAAGCUGUUUGAGAAAUGGUCCACCAACAUAAAACCAAAGGUCAUGCACAGAGUCGUGGCCUGACACAGACUGGGGAGCUCCAAGACCUCGUCCAGAAUGCUGUAGCUACUGAAAUUGAAGAAGGUUGGGACAGUGACAUGUCUUCCAUUCUCUUGCUGGUCCACCUUCUACCACCUUCGAGUCAAGGGCGCAAAAGACCAGAGAAGAUUUCAGCUAUGGAGGUUGGUGUCGAGGUGGCUGAAAAGUUUGAAGUGCCUGUUAGGACUAAGGUUUUAAAAGUUUAAUGGGCUAAACGCAAUGGAGCUGUGUUUAGGCCCGGAUUGGCUGUGUGUGUGAGAACUGAUAAUGAGAUGCCAGUGUUCCAUGUCAUUCAAAAGGUUGUUAUGAAAGAUGAGCAAGUUCUUUUGGUAACAGUUGCUCUGAAAAACAUUGUUUAGAUGAACAUACCCAUGCUUUCAAGGUCUCGCAUACUACUGAGGCACCAUUUGUCUUGGAUGUUCAGACUCUUUUGUACCACAAGAUCUUUGAUAUACUGAUGUCCUAUGAUUGUAAUUCUGAUUAUUGUGCCUUAUUGUUUCAUGUAAUUGCUCUGCUCCGCUGUUCUUUGUCCUUCACUACUUUUCAAAGUUAUCGUGUAGUGGAGUUUUAUAAUGUAUAUAAUGUGCUUUUCUAUUUUAUAUUUUUAUACUAUUUUUUUUUUCUCCAAGUUAUAA